GCGAACCGGGGGAACUGAAACAUCUAAGUACCCCGAGGAAAAGAAAUCAACCGAGAUUCCCCCAGUAGCGGCGAGCGAACGGGGAGCAGCCCAGAGCCUGAAUCAGUAUGUGUGUUAGUGGAAGCGUCUGGAAAGGCGCGCGAUACAGGGUGACAGCCCCGUACACAAAAAUGCACAUGCUGUGAGCUCGAUGAGUAGGGCGGGACACGUGGUAUCCUGUCUGAAUAUGGGGGGACCAUCCUCCAAGGCUAAAUACUCCUGACUGACCGAUAGUGAACCAGUACCGUGAGGGAAAGGCGAAAAGAACCCCGGCGAGGGGAGUGAAAAAGAACCUGAAACCGUGUACGUACAAGCAGUGGGAGCACGCUUAGGCGUGUGACUGCGUACCUUUUGUAUAAUGGGUCAGCGACUUAUAUUCUGUAGCAAGGUUAACCGAAUAGGGGAGCCGAAGGGAAACCGAGUCUUAACUGGGCGUUAAGUUGCAGGGUAUAGACCCGAAACCCGGUGAUCUAGCCAUGGGCAGGUUGAAGGUUGGGUAACACUAACUGGAGGACCGAACCGACUAAUGUUGAAAAAUUAGCGGAUGACUUGUGGCUGGGGGUGAAAGGCCAAUCAAACCGGGAGAUAGCUGGUUCUCCCCGAAAGCUAUUUAGGUAGCGCCUCGUGAAUUCAUCUCCGGGGGUAGAGCACUGUUUCGGCAAGGGGGUCAUCCCGACUUACCAACCCGAUGCAAACUGCGAAUACCGGAGAAUGUUAUCACGGGAGACACACGGCGGGUGCUAACGUCCGUCGUGAAGAGGGAAACAACCCAGACCGCCAGCUAAGGUCCCAAAGUCAUGGUUAAGUGGGAAACGAUGUGGGAAGGCCCAGACAGCCAGGAUGUUGGCUUAGAAGCAGCCAUCAUUUAAAGAAAGCGUAAUAGCUCACUGGUCGAGUCGGCCUGCGCGGAAGAUGUAACGGGGCUAAACCAUGCACCGAAGCUGCGGCAGCGACGCUGAUGCGUUGUUGGGUAGGGGAGCGUUCUGUAAGCCUGCGAAGGUGUGCUGUGAGGCAUGCUGGAGGUAUCAGAAGUGCGAAUGCUGACAUAAGUAACGAUAAAGCGGGUGAAAAGCCCGCUCGCCGGAAGACCAAGGGUUCCUGUCCAACGUUAAUCGGGGCAGGGUGAGUCGACCCCUAAGGCGAGGCCGAAAGGCGUAGUCGAUGGGAAACAGGUUAAUAUUCCUGUACUUGGUGUUACUGCGAAGGGGGGACGGAGAAGGCUAUGUUGGCCGGGCGACGGUUGUCCCGGUUUAAGCGUGUAGGCUGGUUUUCCAGGCAAAUCCGGAAAAUCAAGGCUGAGGCGUGAUGACGAGGCACUACGGUGCUGAAGCAACAAAUGCCCUGCUUCCAGGAAAAGCCUCUAAGCAUCAGGUAACAUCAAAUCGUACCCCAAACCGACACAGGUGGUCAGGUAGAGAAUACCAAGGCGCUUGAGAGAACUCGGGUGAAGGAACUAGGCAAAAUGGUGCCGUAACUUCGGGAGAAGGCACGCUGAUAUGUAGGUGAAGUCCCUCGCGGAUGGAGCUGAAAUCAGUCGAAGAUACCAGCUGGCUGCAACUGUUUAUUAAAAACACAGCACUGUGCAAACACGAAAGUGGACGUAUACGGUGUGACGCCUGCCCGGUGCCGGAAGGUUAAUUGAUGGGGUUAGCGCAAGCGAAGCUCUUGAUCGAAGCCCCGGUAAACGGCGGCCGUAACUAUAACGGUCCUAAGGUAGCGAAAUUCCUUGUCGGGUAAGUUCCGACCUGCACGAAUGGCGUAAUGAUGGCCAGGCUGUCUCCACCCGAGACUCAGUGAAAUUGAACUCGCUGUGAAGAUGCAGUGUACCCGCGGCAAGACGGAAAGACCCCGUGAACCUUUACUAUAGCUUGACACUGAACAUUGAGCCUUGAUGUGUAGGAUAGGUGGGAGGCUUUGAAGUGUGGACGCCAGUCUGCAUGGAGCCGACCUUGAAAUACCACCCUUUAAUGUUUGAUGUUCUAACGUUGACCCGUAAUCCGGGUUGCGGACAGUGUCUGGUGGGUAGUUUGACUGGGGCGGUCUCCUCCUAAAGAGUAACGGAGGAGCACGAAGGUUGGCUAAUCCUGGUCGGACAUCAGGAGGUUAGUGCAAUGGCAUAAGCCAGCUUGACUGCGAGCGUGACGGCGCGAGCAGGUGCGAAAGCAGGUCAUAGUGAUCCGGUGGUUCUGAAUGGAAGGGCCAUCGCUCAACGGAUAAAAGGUACUCCGGGGAUAACAGGCUGAUACCGCCCAAGAGUUCAUAUCGACGGCGGUGUUUGGCACCUCGAUGUCGGCUCAUCACAUCCUGGGGCUGAAGUAGGUCCCAAGGGUAUGGCUGUUCGCCAUUUAAAGUGGUACGCGAGCUGGGUUUAGAACGUCGUGAGACAGUUCGGUCCCUAUCUGCCGUGGGCGCUGGAGAACUGAGGGGGGCUGCUCCUAGUACGAGAGGACCGGAGUGGACGCAUCACUGGUGUUCGG
rnacentral:rRNA from 1 species